AAAACAGGUGACGCGCAGAGUGAAGACCACCACGGCGAGCAGGGGGAGGAGAAACUCCAGGAUGGUUGAUUUUGUGGUUUCAUACACUGAGAGCUCAUCCUGUGUGUGCUGGGUUUUUAGUGUGUCUCUUCACCUGAAAAGAGUAGGUGACCACGACUGCAAUGAACCACACGGUGGCACUGACACACCUGGCCGCUCCUAUGGUCCUCCAACGAUGAAGGGUACUGGAUGCGUGGACGACAGCGAGCAAAUCUGUGGAGCUCCCCUGGCAGAGCUUGCACAUCACAUACAAGCAACUCAAGUCCUUUAAGAAGCAGCCUGGAUUUGAGUCUGCCCAUCUUUCAUCUUCUCCCUCACACUUUCUGUCCCUGUUAAUGCGUUUCUAAAAGCCCCAAAUUAAAUCUCACAAAAAAUGUUUAUUUACUCCUGACUAUUCGACAUCAGAAAAAACAUACAUUAAAAAUGUCCUCCUUUACUUUAAAAAAAGUAAUUUUAUAAAAGAUAAAUGUCUUAAAUAAUGCCAUAUUUUACUCAGCAGAUCCUCU